rnacentral:rRNA from 1 species
GAUGAACGCUGGCGGCGUGCAUAACACAUUCAAGUCGAACGGUGAAGUGACUUCGGUCACGGAUCAGUGGCGGACGGGUGAGUAACGCGUGAAUAACCUGCCUGUAUGUGGGGGAUAACAACCGGAAACAGUUGCUAAUACCGCAUAAUGUAUGGAAAUCGCAUGUUUUCCAUACCAAAGAUUUAUUGCAUACAGAUGGAUUCGCGUCCGAUUAGAUAGUUGGUGAGGUAACGGCCCACCAAGUCGACGAUCGGUAGCCGGACUGAGAGGUUGAACGGCCACAUUGGAACUGAGACACGGCCCAGACUCCUACGGGAGGCAGCAGUGGGGAAUAUUGCGCAAUGGGGGAAACCCUGACGCAGCAACGCCGCGUGAAGGAUGAAGGUCUUCGGAUUGAAACUUUUGCUUUGGUGAAGAUAGUGACGGUAGCCAAGGAGGAAGCCACGGCUAACUACGUG